CGUGGGUGGGCAAGAAGCUAAGGGGCUGUGAGAGCCCAGGGAGGCCUCUGCUUCUGAAUCUUGCAGAGCUUGGAGAACGCAGCAAAUUCCAGCGGGAGCCUGUGUGCACAGCCGGAGACUGUAAUGGACUUCACAGGCUCGCACUGAGCACUCAGGGGCGCAGAGAGCGGCAUUUCCCGAGCAUCUUAGAGGCCAGGCUCUGUGCUUGGCGCCAGGACGAGCUGCACUUCCAAAUCCAAACCCUGCUUGCUGCACGCGCCCAAAGCCGCCCAGGCUGGCAGCAGCUCCGGGCAAAACACGCUCUGAACACGGCCGCAGCUCGCAGACCCGGAGGCCCCGCGCACAGGACUUGGCCCAGGACGUCUGGAGCCCGCGCGACGCGCUUCCGUCAAGCCAGGGACCGGCCGCCAGGGGGAGCCAGAGGCCCAGGCAUUUCUCAGCAGGCACCGAAGUCCCAAUGGCAACUUUCACCAAUAAGUUCACUUUGCUCUUGGUUUCGUCGGACGUUUUUAUGAUGAACGUAACGCACACGUUGCGAUACGUAAAGGCCUAGAAAGUAAAAGGUCAUGACCUCUCUGCCC
rnacentral:lncRNA from 1 species